UGUCUGCUCCGGGACCGGGAACAAAGGGGGGAACUCUGAUGAACUCUCCUCCCCUCACCCCGGACGCCCGGGUAUCUCAGUCUCGCAACUUUGCCACCGCGACUUUCUGCGCUGUCAGGCCCCACAAAAGUGUCCGCGCGCCUUGCGGACUGCAACGGGGGACGUCUCUGAAAAGUGCGACCAAGUGGGAAGAAGGUGUCGUUAUUAUUAUCAGCAUCUAGAAAGCAUCACGCGGUGCAUUUUCUUGUGGGAUCUUUCUAAGAGUGAACAUUAUGGAAGUGCCGAUACGUCAUUCCCGGAUGAAAAGUUGUCAAACUUUUGGAGUUACUUAAAAGUUAAAAUGUUGGAAUUGUUUAUGACGCCUCCCCUAUGUGGAUUACUACAAUUUGAUCACUGGGAACUCUCCACCUUAAAGAAGCACUUUCAGGGGACGUCAGAAGCGCCAACACCCGCAAGUUCAGGUGUGAAUCAUGAUGACAGUGAAAGACGGUGAUUUACUGCUUUGGGGGCAUGUGCGUGUAUGAUUAAGGGAUAUAAGUGCAGGACUCCAAGAUUUACUUCCUUCCUGUUCCAGUGGGGAUGGCCAAGGAGAGUGAGUAAUGGGAUAAUUUACAACGCCGCAGGCCCUUCGUCAAGAGACCUCUAGUCAAAACAGGAAGAUAAACUCAGAUUUCAACUGGGAGAAUACAACUUUUGAUACUCUCUGAGCACUUCUUUGCAAGCAGUAGUCUUCAGAAUUUUUGUUUUCCUUUUUCAAGGAGGUUUCCAUGAAAAAGGUAUAAUUGUCUGGUGGCAUUAUUUCCUUUUCACAUUCCGUGGACAUCUAGAUCUUGAUUUGGAAGCUUUUUACAAAAUGUUCAGAGUCUGGCUUAAUAUCAAUUGCCAAUGAAGGUCAUCCUGCUGUCCAGUCCACCAGAUCUCCUCAAAAUUAACAGACCCAAAAGGGAAAUGGCUAAAGAGCUGCAAAAUAAUUUCUUCAUACAAGCACAAGCAAAGUAAUGUGUGUAAAGUGGCCUGAAUCUUUGGAAGAAAAGUCCUUCAAAAGUAUAAGUAGAUGGAAGCAGAGGAAGACCAUUUUAUACUGAAGAACAGGAGAGUUUGAAAAAACUGGGGUUAUCAGCUGUUCCGACUGAGUAGACAGCGCUGUGCGUCCC